rnacentral:rRNA from 1 species
AGGCAGCAGUGAGGAAUUUUGCGCAAUGGGGGAAACCCUGACGCAGCAACGCCGCGUGAGUGAUGAAGGCCUUCGGGUCGUAAAGCUCUGUCAAGUGGGAAGAAAAUACGUGAUGUUAAUACCAUCUUGUACUGACGGUACCACUGAAGGAAGCACCGGCUAACUCCGUGCCAGCAGCCGCGGUAAUACGGGGGGUGCAAGUGUUAUUCGGAAUCAUUGGGCGUAAAGGGCGCAUAGGCGGUCUCUUAAGUCAGAUGUGAAAGCCCGGGGCUCAACCCCGGAAGUGCAUUUGAAACUAAGGGACUUGAGUAUGGGAGAGGGAAGUGGAAUUCCUGGUGUAGAGGUGAAAUUCGUAGAUAUCAGGAGGAACACCGGUGGCGAAGGCGACUUCCUGGACCAAUACUGACGCUAAGGCGCGAAGGCGUGGGGAGCAAACAGGAUUAGAUACCCUGGUAGUCCACGCAGUAAACGGUGAACACUAGGUGUAGCGGGUAUUGACCCCUGCUGUGCCGAAGCUAACGCAUUAAGUGUUCCGCCUGGGGAGUACGGUCGCAAGAUUAAAACUCAAAUGAAUUGACGG